GUUAACCUAUUAUGACCACAGCUGUGUGAUUUCUUUAGCAGAGAAAGUCGUCUUCAAAAAUCAACUACCGCUUUUCUAACACUGCAUUUUCAAAAUAAGCUAGUGUUUGUUGUUUUCUCUUCUGACUUGUAGUGGGCAAGCCUACAAAGACUUGAAUGCAGGUAUUCGUGAAGACAGAAUAAGUUUAAAGGGUCUUGUGAUGAAAAGCUCACAUUUAACAAAAUGUUUAGGGUUUUCACACUUUCACGUGCAUGUUUUGGAAUAGAUUUUAGGGAGUGUUUAUCAUCAUUUUGGACUUUUUCCUGUUUUUGUUACCAACUUCCUAAGAUUUAGCUAAUAGAAGAAGACAAAUCCCAGGGAAGUGUAGUGGUAGAGUAAGGGGUGGGAAUGUGCUGCUGUUCAAAGUGAGCCUUGUUCCAUUGUUCAAAUGUCGAUGCCUCCUGUAUCCAGUACCACCUCCUGCAGUUCUAAUGUAAAUGGUAUGUGUAUAUGUAUAGUUUUGUAGAGAAAACGUCCUCGUUCACUUUCAUAUGUAAUUGUGCUUAGAGUAUCAGCGGUUUUUAUCCUUUUUACUUCAGGCUCUUGUAUGUUGAGUCUCUGAAAUAGCAGAGAAGACAGAUUUGUAGAAUGGCUCAGCCGAAGUGCCCUGCAGUGGGACAGAUGCCAUGGAAGGCUAGUGGGCUGCCUUCUGGAUGAGACUGGCACCGUAUCGUUCUCUACGGAAAGAUCAGUUGCAAGCAAAGUGUGUAGAAUUCACUUGUUUUUCUUUUAACUUUUAAUUACUUAAAUAAAAUCCAUUGUUUCAUAGUAAAUGUAGACUGCGUAUGGAAUUUUCUGUGUAGUUUUCUAACGGGAAUUCUAUGUGGCCAUCUAGCUUUCAGCAGUUUCCUCCCAUGCAGACUGGUGAUGGGAGGAGCUUUGUCUGUUCGCUGUAGCAACAGAGCCACUAUGUUUUACGCACUUAAACUCUCACCAGAUAGUUUCAUGAUAGGUGAUUCCCUACUAAUUAGGAAAUUUCACACCCUUAUUUUCUUUGUUAAGGAAGUCUGUUCUGUUUAUGUCACCGAGGAAAACAACAAUGGCUAUCUCACCACCAACCUAUAAAUAUCAGCUCGUUAUUAUACCUGUUUUGUUUUUAAACAUAACAUGGCGUCAUCACACUAAAACCUCCGGGUUCCUUUUUAAGGUUUUGUUUAUUUUUAGUUGUGAUAAAAUGCUCUUGACAGGAUUUACCAUCUGAAGCAUUUUUGACUGUACCAUUUGCUGGUGUUAGGUGUGCUCACAUUGUUGUGUGACCAACCUCUAUAACGCUUUCAUUGCAAAACUGACACUGUACCUGAGUCCCCUCUCCUCUGCCUGCCCUGUAGCCACGGUCUACUUUGUUGCUGUUUGGCUAAUCUAGAAAGUGAAAUAUAAACAUCAUUUAAUUAAAAUUCUUUACCGUUUGUACAA
rnacentral:lncRNA from 1 species